rnacentral:rRNA from 1 species
AUUGAACGCUGGCGGCAGGCCUAACACAUGCAAGUCGAGCGAGCGGCGGACGGGUGAGUAAUGUCUGGGAAACUUCCUGAUGUAGGGGGAUUACUACUGGAAACGGUAGUUAAUACCGCAUACCAUCAGAUGUGCCCAGCUGGGAUGAGCUAGUCGGUUGGGUAACGGCUCACCUAGGCGACGCUCCCUCGCUGGUCUGCGAGGAUGACCAGCCUGACUGGAACUGAUACACGGGCCAGACGCCUACGGGAGGCAGCAGUGGGGAAUUUUGCACAAUGGGCGCAAUCCGGAUGCAGCCAUUGCGGGGGUGUGAAGAAGGCCUUCGGGGUGUAAAGCACUUUCAGCGGGGAGGCGUUACCCGCAGAAGAAGCACCGGCUAACUCCGUGCCAGCAGCCGCGGUAAUUC